AAGUGCGUCGUAGUCCGGAUCUGGAGUCUGCAACUCGACUCCAGUGAAGUCGGAAUCGCUAGUAAUCGUGGAUCAGAAUGCUACGGUGAAUACGUUCCCGGGCCUUGUACACACCGCCCGUCACACCAUGGGAGUGGGUUGCAAAAGAAGUAGGUAGCUUAACCUUCGGGAGGGCGCUUACCACUUUGUGAUUCAUGACUGGGGUGAAGUCGUAACAAGGUUACCGUAGGGG
rnacentral:rRNA from 1 species